AAAGCAAAAUAAAGAAUGCAAUUUUAUAUUUAAAAAAUAAAAAAGAAACUAAUUUUUAUUUUUUUUUUCGAGAUGGCAGAUGCAAAGCAAAUUAUUGCGCGAAUGCCCCGUAGUAGCGGCAAAGACGCUCCACUCAAUUAGCUGCGUCAUAGGUGAUAUGAAGGACCAGCAUUAUUUGGAGUUCGCUCUGCCCUUGUCAUCGGAAGGACACGUACCCUUCGUUUAAGAAAAGAUGCGGAUUUCCAGUGCUAUUUCCACUAAGUCAAUUAAUCAGAGACAUAGUCUUCCUUGGGACUUCUACAACCGCACAUAAUUAUAUACAUAGACGUAUAUAUAUAUAACAACUUAUGUAAAUAAUGCAUUAAUUAUUUAAUAUAAUAUAAAAUUAUAUUUUUAGCCGAAUAUACACCUAACUUUAUCCAAUCUAUAUAAAUAAAAAUAAAUCGCCAAAUUGUAUGUACGCUCAUAACUCCGCCUGGA